GGUUUUACUAAGAAGGAGCAACAUCCUGAGAUAAUAUUGUGAUACUGAGAAGGCGUAGUUGGAAGCAUUCACAGCCCCACCUCUACUACCAGAAGACUUUGUUAACACCCAAAAGCAGCAGCCAUCAGCUCAGUGGAUCUUGUGUGGUUAAUCACCGAAGUGUUGAAUGGAAAUGCCAGAGAAGGAAUAAUCAACUACAUUUCAAGCUGACUGAACUUUUAAGAGCUGCUGCAUUUAUUAGUGUCUUCAAGAACAGACGUGUAUUAUCUCCUUAUCCAAGUUAAAGGGCUUUUAGGUCUUUGCU